rnacentral:lncRNA from 1 species
ACUUAUUGGGAUAGCCGCGUGAUCCUACCAGUACACUGUGGUUGUGUACUGAUACUGCACCUUCUUGUUCUUUGUUGAGUACAGGGAAUCUUCAGGCGGCUAUUGAUAGACCUCAGCUAGGUGAUUAUUGAGCGUGACCGAAUUUAAGGGUGAUCCAGUUCUUUCGGGCUGCCAUGGAUCUUUCUUGUUUAAGUCCACUCUUUUU